UACGUAGGGGGCAAGCGUUGUCCGGAAUCAUUGGGCGUAAAGAGCGCGUAGGCGGCCAGAUAAGUCCGGUGUGAAAGUCACAGGCUCAACCUGUGAAUGCCGCUGGAAACUGUCUGGCUAGAGUCCGGAAGGGGCGAGUGGAAUUCCUGGUGUAGCGGUGAGAUGCGCAGAUAUCAGGAAGAACACCCGUGGCGAAGGCGGUUCUCUGGGACGGUACUGACGCUGAGACGCGAAAGCGUGGGGAGCGAACAGG
rnacentral:rRNA from 1 species